rnacentral:rRNA from 1 species
UAAGCCUACGGGGCGCAGCAGUGAGGAAUAUUGGUCAAUGGACGCAAGCCUGAACCAGCCAAGUAGCGUGCAGGAUGACGGUCCUCCGGGUUGUAAACUGCUUUUAGUUGGGAAUAAAAGGGGGCUCGUGAGCCCCGUAUUGUAUGUACCAUCAGAAAAAGGACCGGCUAAUUCCGUGCCAGCAGCCGCGCUAAUACGGAAGGUCCGGGCGUUAUCCGGAUUUAUUGGGCUUAAAGGGAGCGUAGGCCGGCUUUUAAGUCAGCUGUGAAAGCCCGCGGCUCAACCGGGGAAUUGCAGUUGAAACU